rnacentral:lncRNA from 1 species
GACUAUAUAUCAAAUAUAGCCUUUGCAAAUGUAGCCUAAUCAAUUACAGAAAUAGCCUAUUUACACAUAUAGCCUAACUACAGAAAAUAAGAUAAUUACAAGAAUAGCCUAAUUACAUAAGUAGCCUAUUAGGCUCAGAUAUGACUCCCUUAUUGACCCUUAUGACUCCCUUAUUGACCCUUCACGGUCUAAAGUGGGUUUAUCAUCAUCGCCUAUAUAUAUCUCAACACCCCCUCCCCCCUCAAGUUGAAGGGGGGAAACCACCAUCAACUUGGACAAAAGAGGAGAGAGAGCAGUNNN